rnacentral:rRNA from 1 species
AGAGUUUGAUCCUGGCUCAGGAUAAACGCUAGCGGAAGGCUUAACACAUGCAAGUCAAGGGGGUUUAUGGGUAGCAAUACUUAUAGAUUACCGGCGUACGGGUGAGUAACGCGUAUGUAACCUACCUUAUACAGGGGGAUAACACUGGGAAACUUGUGCUAAUACCCCAUGAGGUUAUAGAUAGGCAUCUAUUGAUAAUCAAAGCUUUGGUGGUAUAAGAUGGGCAUGCGUGCCAUUAGGUAGUUGGUAGGGUAAUGGCCUACCAAGCCGAUGAUGGCUAGGGGUUCUGCAAGGAAGUGCCCCCACACUGGGACUGAGACACGGCCCAGACUCCUACGGGAGGCAGCAGUGAGGAAUAUUGGUCAAUGGGCGGAAGCCUGAACCAGCCAUUCCGCGUGCAGGAAGAAGGCCUUAUGGGUUGUAAACUGCUUUUGAAUGGGACUAACCCCGGAGACGAGAUUUUCGGGAUGCAUGUACUGUUCGAAUAAGCAUCGGCUAACUCCGUGCCAGCAGCCGCGGUAAUACGGAGGAUGCAGGCGUUAUCCGGAAUUAUUAGGUUUAAAGGGUGCGUAGGCGGAGAGAUAAGUCAGGGGUAAAAUCGUACAGCUCAACUGUGCCACGCCUUUGAUACUGUUUUUCUAGAGUAGAAUCGAGGUAGGCGGAAUGUGCAGUGUAGCGGUGAAAUGCGUAGAUAUUGCACAGAACACCGAUUGCGGAGGCAGCUUACUAGGUUUAUACUGACGCUGAGGCACGAAAGCGUGGGGAUCAAACAGGAUUAGAUACCCUGGUAGUCCACGCUGUAAACGAUGAUCACUUGCUGUUGGCGACAGAUAGUCAGUGGCAAAGGGAAACCGAUAAGUGAUCCACCUGGGGAGUACGACCGCAAGGUUGAAACUCAAAGGAAUUGACGGGGGCCCGCACAAGCGGAGGAACAUGUGGUUUAAUUCGAUGAUACGCGAGGAACCUUACCUGGGUUUGAACGUAUGUUGCAUAGGGUGGAAACGCUCUUUUCCGCGAGGACUACAUACGAGGUGCUGCAUGGUUGUCGUCAGCUCGUGCCGUGAGGUGUCGGCUUAAGUGCCAUAACGAGCGCAACCCUCAUCGUCAGUUACCAUCAGGUAAAGCUGGGGACUCUGGCGAGACUGCCAUCGUAAGAUGCGAGGAAGGUGGGGAUGACGUCAAAUCAGCACGGCCCUUACGUCCGGGGCGACACACGUGUUACAAUGGGUGGUACAAAGGGCAGCUACCUGGCGACAGGAUGCUAAUCUCCAAAACCACUCUCAGUUCGGAUCGGAGUCUGCAACUCGACUCCGUGAAGCUGGAUUCGCUAGUAAUCGCGCAUCAGCCAUGGCGCGGUGAAUACGUUCCCGGGCCUUGUACACACCGCCCGUCAAGCCAUGGGAGUUUGGGGCGCCUGAAGUCUGUAACCGUAAGGAGCGGCCUAGGGCGAACCAGAUGACUGGGGCUAAGUCGUAACAAGGUAGCCGUACCGGAAGGUGUGGCUG